UAAAACAUAGAAUUUUUUUAGACACAAAAAAGAGAUAAGAUAAAAUUCUUAUUACAAUACUACAUCGUUAGUCAACAUACAUUCUUUCGUAUUAUCACAGCUGAUGUUGGCGACUGAAAACAAUUUUCAUAAAAUAUUAUUCUGUGUACGUUUUCUACAUGACACCUAUCUACAAGCAAUACUAUUGUAUUUUAAGUAUAAUUGUAACAACAUAAUAUAUAUAUAUAUAUUAUCCUGACUUCACGUAUACAUUAAUAUAUAUAAUAAUAUAUAUUAUGCUUGAUACAAUAACUUAAACAUAAUAGAAUUUCGAAUGUUCGUGAAUGGUUAAUUAGACAGGUUUCGGACAGGUGUAUUAUAUUGUUCGGCGAGAGUUGUUUUUGUUUGACCUGAUUGAAUAUUAUACACCAUCGAGUGAUUCGAGUGAUGGAAAUUUAUGGAAUUAAUUAAACAAAAUAAAUAUAGGUACCCGGCUACUGCAUUUAAAUAUCAUUAUAAUAUAAAAGUUGUUUGAUUUCGUUUGGUGAAAACGUUGAAAAAUGUUAGAGCAAUGUUUAAAACAAUUGAUCAAAAUUAUCAUCAUUGUUUGUAUAGUAUAUAUAUGUUAUGAUAUGUUGUUAAUUAUG